UCCUCCUUCCCUCGCGCUGCCAUCACAUACUCCGUAUCCUCCCCGUUGGCUCCCUUCCCCCAACCCGACCCGCGUCCUCCUUCUCGCGGAUCGCUCGGACCUGUAGCGUCGCCGCCGUCACCGAUGCACCUCCUUUCCCCUUCUCCCUACCACCUUCGGCUUCAGCAUGGAGCAUUAGCUCCUCUUGCCUCACCGGCCGUCCUGAGCAAGGGCAGGGCGCCUCGUCCUCUCCUUCCCCGAGCGCGGAGGGAGAGAAGAGAUGGCGACGGCUGGAUCUCGGUAAGUGGCCAGCGAGGAGGACGGCUUGGCCCCGCAGCAACGCCAACAAGGCACUUCCGUCUAGCGUCGCCUAUUCUUCCUCCUCUCGCUCCAAUCCUACCGUGGCCACCACCAGUAGUAGCAAGAAGUCCAACUCUUCUGUGGUAUGAACUAUUCCUUGUGUUGUUGUUUGAUGUAUUUUCUUGCAUCCUUGCUAAUUCGGGUUGAUCUGCUAUUGCCCCACACGAGGUUGUCCUCCUCUCUGGUUUUGCUGAUUCCGACGGCGCCGAAUCCACCUACAGGAUAUCUUUGACAUUUGUUGUUAUUGGGGUGUAAAUCCUGGCGAUGAAAAUAUUAUCAAUGUUCUUGUCAAAUUGGGUUGCCAAUGCUGGAAGCUGCUCAUGGGACAUAUAACUUGAAGGUCGUCUCCAGUGCUACUUUUCUUUCUACUGAUUUUCGUUUUAAUCAAGAACGAUAGAGAGUGAUUCCACGCUUGUACUUGACUUCAUGUGCUUCCUUGGACUUGAUAUCUUCUGUUUUUAUUGUGUGGUGGUGGUGCCGUCGAGGUCGGGGAUGGCGCUCAGCGGCUUGGAUGCCGCGUUCGUCCUCCCCAUGCACUUCCCUUCUCCCUCGGCUUCUUUCGCGCCCGAUUCCUCCUCGACCGCCUGGUAUCCAAGGAGCAAAUGAUGUUUCAAUGAUACAAAGGGCUGAUGUUGGUUUUGGUACAUUCAUAGGUUUAUGUACCUCCCUAGCUUCCUUGCCUUGCUGCUCUAGCACCAGCCUCGCCGCUGUUGAGUUGUAUAGAUCAUUAUGAAGUAAAUAAUUUGGGGGAAUUCUCUGCUUCACCUAUAAAGAGAUGGGAUCCAUAUGGCAGGGAUGAAAUCCAACUUCAAUUGGCAUGCAAUAAGAUCAAAUGGCAGGAUUUAAACCUUCUUGAGUUACGCAAUCACAAAUAUCUUGCACCUAGAGAAAGAAACUUGGAUGUUUUGAUCACACAAAGGUGUUUUUUACAAGUAUGUGCUUUCUUUUAAUCUAUGCAUGAGCCAGGUUUAUGUGUUGUGCAGUUUGGACCAUGAGCUUGCGGAUGCUAAACAAAAUCUUAGGUAAGUCUGAAAUAGAAGCAUUCAAGAAGUUCACUAGGCCAGAAUGCUUCGAAGCUGAUCUUGAUGACCCUAACUUCACGUUUACUCAGCAUGCUAAAAUGGCUCGAGUUAUUCAUCUGUAUGGUGUAGGUACCCUCCAACUCCUUUUUGUUUUAAUGAUUUUCACUAACAAAUAAUUCUUACAUAAGACCUUGGAGUAGCAAAGAUGUUCUCAUUUGUCCAACAUAAUUUACAAAAUUUGAUGGAUUAGAAAAAGAUUAAAAUUAAUGGAUGCGGGUAAUACACAAUUUUAUAUGUUGGCAAGUAUGUAUAAUGUACGAGUCUACGCAAGUGUCAGUUCUGUAUUAUUGUCUGUUUUCAAGUAUUUGUCACUCGAGUUUCUGAUAACUGAAGUGGGUGUCUGUAGUUGCAAUGCAGAGCAGAUCGAGUGGUGUAAGGUGGUGUUGUUGUGGGACAUUGCAACUGCUGCCAGAUCGAUUCAAGCUUCAUUUUAAUGUUUUUGUUCAUCUAUGCUUUUGAUUAUAUUUUUACAGAAUAAUGGGGGUUAUACUUAUUCUCGAGGGCCUUGCAGAGAGUAUUCUGAAUUGUAUUCAUUGCUUCCAAGUAGUUGUUUAUAUUUCUUAUGAGUAUUCACCUACAACUUGAUGUCUUACAACACGAGGAGAUUUAUACCUGUUUUCUUAAGCAUUUUCACUAAACUACGCAUAUUGUAUGUUAACAAAUACAACAGCAUUUGCUAUUCAUUCAUGCACAUUAUGUGGCUACCUUUGUACCAAUCUUGUGUAUAGGACAGGGUACAUACGAUUUUCUUGUUCAUGCCUAUAAAAAAAUAUAUGAUGAUGAUGAAUGAGGUAAGUAUCGGGGUUUUCUUCUUGGGUUGUGGGUAGUGGUGUUCUCCAAAAGCUCUUUUCAUCCCAUACAAAGCUUUUAUAAAGGUAAGGUAAAGCUUUUAGAGACUCUUGCUUCUCUCUGGAGCUAUAUUUAUAAACUUUGUCCCAAUUCUUGUCGUUAUAUCAUAAAUCUUGCUUGUGAUUCAGAACAAAUGGUGGAUUAUUAUGUAGCUUUCUAACAUGUGAUGCAGUAACAUAUACUAGAGUUCGAUGUUAAUCUAUCAAAACAGAGGCUAAAAGAGUCCUUUUCUUUUGCUUGAUUUGCAUAUUUUACUUGUGUUGACAGAUAGAUUAUUUUGGUUGCUUAACUCGGUAUGUUUUUGUUCAAACUUCAUGUUACUUGAGCUAACUGUAGAGCAUUAUAUGGCUUAAGUAAAAAAAACUGAUAGAAUUUUUUUACUUGAUGUGUAAGUUCUGUACCAAAUCAUUUAUACAUAAGUCGAGUGCUAAUUGUUAGAGACUUGUUCUGAGUUACACCAACUUGCUUAAUUUCAGGGCAACAUGUGGCUGAGUGGCUCUCAAUUCCUUCCUUUCUCCUGUAGCAUGAUGGGCAGCAUGUGGCUGAGUGGCUCUCAAUUCCUUCAUUUCUCCUAUAGCAUGAUGGUACGUUGAAGAUCAAGCUUGCCAACAACAAGGUUCAUGACGAUUGUUGCAUCAUGUUAGGAAUGGACAAUAAAGCCGCCAUCACCACGAGCUGGUCAAAGUUUCGCAGCUAUGCAAACAUCCACCAAGGAGACAUCUACGCCUUCUGCUUCAAGGUCACUGCAAAUCGGUGCCUUGCUCUCGCCGUGCAUCUGACACGGAUCUUGUGUCUAGGCGAUAGGAUUUACUCUCAGAUGAUCAGAUCGAAGAUACAAGUAGCUAGGGUUUUUCAGCAAGAAAGGGGAUCGGGGAAUGAGAGCCAGAGGUGGGAGAGAGGAUACAUCGCCCUUGCGGCGCCGUCAGGUCUGAUCUAUCGAUGCCCUAGUUCUCCACUCGUUUUGCCUUUAAGUAGUC